rnacentral:miRNA from 1 species
UUCUCUGUGUUGCUUGGAGCCUAUCCUGGCACUCACUGUGUAGACCAGGCUAGCCUGGAACUCACAGAGAUUCACCUGCCUCUGCCUCCCUAGUGCUGGGAUUAAAGGCGUGCGCCACCACCGCCCG